GAGCAGCAGCAGCAGCAGGAGGUCGAGGAGAGGAGGGGCAGCUGCAGGAGGAGGAGGACCCGGCGGGGGCGGCGCGCGGGGCGGGAGCGAAGCCGCGGGAGGAGGAUCGGCCUUGGUGCCGCCCCGCGCUCGCCCGGCGACGGCUGAUGAUGGAGCGGGGAGGAGGCCGGGCUCUUGCAGCAGGGGCGGAGGGCAGCGCGGCCGCGGCGGCAUGAGGAUUUUCAGGCGAUUAAACAGCUUCUCUGCUAGUCUCCUGAAAACGAAAUAUAUUGGGACAAGUAGAUCAAACACGUCAUUUCCGGCAGUCUGGCUGCUUUGGCGCCGUUCUCUUGACCGAUUGCCCAGACCAGUAGCCCAGAUCACACAGAGAAAUUCUUCCUUCACCAUGCCAGAGAUGCUUGAGAACAAAGUUGACCUUGAUCUGCAUGUGCCUCAUCCCAGAGUCCGUGGAAUGACCACCCUAGACAGAGCUGCUUUCAAAAGGGAUGUUGUCGUCCCAGCUCUUAAGGUUAACCAAGACAUCAUCCACAAGCUGGUGAAGUCUCUCAAAGGUGUGCUGAUCCAGCGGCCAGGUCUCAAGAGAGUUAUUGAGGAUCCCGAAGAUGAAGGCAGAAGGUUCGUUUUGUUAGAUCCUCGUAAAAUAUCUGCUGAUGGUUCCCUGGGUGAAUCUGAGCAGCGGGUCUUAAAGAGCUUUAACGUUAACCCUGAAAUAGUCAAGUAUAACCUGGAACUGACUUACGACCAUUUCAAGGUGGAAGAGGUUCUGCAAGCAGUGCUUCCUGAAGGUCAAGAAGUGACCACUGCAUUCAGCCGAGUGGGCCAUAUCGCUCACUUGAACCUGAGAGACCAUCAGCUGCCCUACAAAUGUCUAAUCGGCCAAGUGAUCAUUGACAAGAAUCCAGGAAUCACUUGUGCUGUAAAUAAAACAAAUACCAUCGACAAUGCCUAUCGGAACUUUCAGAUGGAGGUGAUAGCUGGAGAGGAGACCAGUAUGAUAACAAAGGUAAAAGAACACUACGUCUCGUACGAAUUUGAUUUUUCCAAAGUCUACUGGAAUCCCCGCCUCUGUACAGAACACAUGCGCAUCGUCAGCCUCUUAGAGCCGGGCGACCUUCUCUUUGAUGUCUUUGCAGGGGUGGGGCCUUUUGCGGUGCCUGCAGCAAAGAAAAACUGUGUCGUUUUUGCGAACGACCUGAACCCCGAAUCGUAUAAGUGGCUGCAGCACAACUGCAGAUUAAACAAAGUGGAGAAAAAGGUCAAAGUCUUCAACCUGGAUGGCCGGGAUUUCCUUCAAGGGCCAGUUAAGGAAGAGCUGGCAAAACAGCUCGCCUCCAAAGAGCGGAAAUGCUCCCUGCACAUUGUCAUGAACUUGCCAGCAAUGGCCGUCGAGUUCCUGGAUGUCUUCAAGAGCCUCUUGGAUGGAGAGCCGAGCAGCAGUGCUGACCUUCCCACAGUGCACUGCUACGGCUUCUCCAAGCACGACAACCCCAUGCAAGACAUUCAGGAAAAAGCUGAAGCUUCCUUGGGAGCUUCCCUAGAGAGCCAAUGUUCUGUGGAACUGGUGAGGAAUGUGGCACCUGGUAAGGAAAUGAUGUGCAUCAGCUUCUGCAUCCCAGCCGAGGUGCUCUAUAAGAAGCCAUCUGUACUGACAGAAAGCACUUGUGAGAUGAAAACUACAUGGGGAGAAUAUGUGAUUGCAGGUGCAGCAAUGAAAGUGAUGUUGGGAAAGCCACAACCAAACCCAGCUUCCCAGCACAUGUGGUGAAAUGAGUGUGUGGAGCAGUCAUACAUCCAUGUGUGGCUUUUGUGCUUUUUUCUCUGCGGAGAGCUUUCAGUGUGCAGAUGAUCCCCAGGAGCCCGCCUCUAAACGCCUGCGCCCAAAUGAAGGCUCCGCUGAAGGAAGAACCGAAGCCCAAGACCCUGCGAGUUCUGCUCCUUAACUGAUGGCCAAGCAGGAUUUUGCCUCUGUCUUCCAAGGUGUACAGAGUCGAUUGGAUCUCCUCCUAGGAGCCAGUCAGAAGAGCUGUCUUGAUGUCUGUUUCUGAAAGCUGGGGCUGCUGCAGUCAUUUAAUAUAUGCAUUGGUUUGGUUUGGUUUUGUUAAUUAUGUGAUAGCUGGGCCAGAGCUACUUAUCUGAAAGGAUAUUAAAAAAUUUUAUUUUCCUACACAA